CCGAUUUACAAAAAAGUGUAUUUUCCAUUGUUGGAAAAGUACUUAUCUGCUGAGAACUGGCUCCCAGAAUAGCACGGAGCUAAGAAAGAACUGGGUUGUGCCUUGGGCUGGAUAGUGAGAUUAAACAUUUCACCUGUUGCCGAAAAGAAACUUUCCAGGCUAACCAUCUGGCAUCCUCUGCAGCAUGCCAGAUCUUUGGCGCAAAUCUCUCUUUAAAACAACAACACAAUUAAGCUUCUGCAAAACAUAGUGCUGUGCAAAUCCAGUGUUAGAGAUAUCACCAUGACAUCCAGGUUCCUUUCCAACAGCAUCGCUCUGCACCCAAACAAAGAAACCUUUCAGCGUGGCUUAUGUUUAACCUCAGAUGGAAAUAACUAUGUGGGAAAAUAAAUUACUCAAGCACUGGACAUGGAUGAAUCUGGAAACCAUCAUUCUC